GGGUUGUGAGGUUAAGCGACUAAGCGUACACGGUGGAUGCCCUGGCAGUCAGAGGCGAUGAAGGACGUGCUAAUCUGCGAUAAGCGUCGGUAAGGUGAUAUGAACCGUUAUAACCGGCGAUUUCCGAAUGGGGAAACCCAGUGUGAUUCGUCACACUAUCAUUAACUGAAUCCAUAGGUUAAUGAGGCGAACCGGGGGAACUGAAACAUCUAAGUACCCCGAGGAAAAGAAAUCAACCGAGAUUCCCCCAGUAGCGGCGAGCGAACGGGGAGCAGCCCAGAGCCUGAAUCAGUGUGUGUGUUAGUGGAAGCGUCUGGAAAGGCGCGCGAUACAGGGUGACAGCCCCGUACACAAAAAUGCACAUGCUGUGAGCUCGAUGAGUAGGGCGGGACACGUGGUAUCCUGUCUGAAUAUGGGGGGACCAUCCUCCAAGGCUAAAUACUCCUGACUGACCGAUAGUGAACCAGUACCGUGAGGGAAAGGCGAAAAGAACCCCGGCGAGGGGAGUGAAAAAGAACCUGAAACCGUGUACGUACAAGCAGUGGGAGCACGCUUAGGCGUGUGACUGCGUACCUUUUGUAUAAUGGGUCAGCGACUUAUAUUCUGUAGCAAGGUUAACCGAAUAGGGGAGCCGAAGGGAAACCGAGUCUUAACUGGGCGUUAAGUUGCAGGGUAUAGACCCGAAACCCGGUGAUCUAGCCAUGGGCAGGUUGAAGGUUGGGUAACACUAACUGGAGGACCGAACCGACUAAUGUUGAAAAAUUAGCGGAUGACUUGUGGCUGGGGGUGAAAGGCCAAUCAAACCGGGAGAUAGCUGGUUCUCCCCGAAAGCUAUUUAGGUAGCGCCUCGUGAAUUCAUCUCCGGGGGUAGAGCACUGUUUCGGCAAGGGGGUCAUCCCGACUUACCAACCCGAUGCAAACUGCGAAUACCGGAGAAUGUUAUCACGGGAGACACACGGCGGGUGCUAACGUCCGUCGUGAAGAGGGAAACAACCCAGACCGCCAGCUAAGGUCCCAAAGUCAUGGUUAAGUGGGAAACGAUGUGGGAAGGCCCAGACAGCCAGGAUGUUGGCUUAGAAGCAGCCAUCAUUUAAAGAAAGCGUAAUAGCUCACUGGUCGAGUCGGCCUGCGCGGAAGAUGUAACGGGGCUAAACCAUGCACCGAAGCUGCGGCAGCGACGCUUAUGCGUUGUUGGGUAGGGGAGCGUUCUGUAAGCCUGUGAAGGUGUGCUGUGAGGCAUGCUGGAGGUAUCAGAAGUGCGAAUGCUGACAUAAGUAACGAUAAAGCGGGUGAAAAGCCCGCUCGCCGGAAGACCAAGGGUUCCUGUCCAACGUUAAUCGGGGCAGGGUGAGUCGACCCCUAAGGCGAGGCCGAAAGGCGUAGUCGAUGGGAAACAGGUUAAUAUUCCUGUACUUGGUGUUACUGCGAAGGGGGGACGGAGAAGGCUAUGUUGGCCGGGCGACGGUUGUCCCGGUUUAAGCGUGUAGGCUGGUUUUCCAGGCAAAUCCGGAAAAUCAAGGCUGAGGCGUGAUGACGAGGCACUACGGUGCUGAAGCAACAAAUGCCCUGCUUCCAGGAAAAGCCUCUAAGCAUCAGGUAACAUCAAAUCGUACCCCAAACCGACACAGGUGGUCAGGUAGAGAAUACCAAGGCGCUUGAGAGAACUCGGGUGAAGGAACUAGGCAAAAUGGUGCCGUAACUUCGGGAGAAGGCACGCUGAUAUGUAGGUGAAGUGAUUUACUCAUGGAGCUGAAAUCAGUCGAAGAUACCAGCUGGCUGCAACUGUUUAUUAAAAACACAGCACUGUGCAAACACGAAAGUGGACGUAUACGGUGUGACGCCUGCCCGGUGCCGGAAGGUUAAUUGAUGGGGUCAGCGCAAGCGAAGCUCUUGAUCGAAGCCCCGGUAAACGGCGGCCGUAACUAUAACGGUCCUAAGGUAGCGAAAUUCCUUGUCGGGUAAGUUCCGACCUGCACGAAUGGCGUAAUGAUGGCCAGGCUGUCUCCACCCGAGACUCAGUGAAAUUGAACUCGCUGUGAAGAUGCAGUGUACCCGCGGCAAGACGGAAAGACCCCGUGAACCUUUACUAUAGCUUGACACUGAACAUUGAGCCUUGAUGUGUAGGAUAGGUGGGAGGCUUUGAAGUGUGGACGCCAGUCUGCAUGGAGCCGACCUUGAAAUACCACCCUUUAAUGUUUGAUGUUCUAACGUUGACCCGUAAUCCGGGUUGCGGACAGUGUCUGGUGGGUAGUUUGACUGGGGCGGUCUCCUCCUAAAGAGUAACGGAGGAGCACGAAGGUUGGCUAAUCCUGGUCGGACAUCAGGAGGUUAGUGCAAUGGCAUAAGCCAGCUUGACUGCGAGCGUGACGGCGCGAGCAGGUGCGAAAGCAGGUCAUAGUGAUCCGGUGGUUCUGAAUGGAAGGGCCAUCGCUCAACGGAUAAAAGGUACUCCGGGGAUAACAGGCUGAUACCGCCCAAGAGUUCAUAUCGACGGCGGUGUUUGGCACCUCGAUGUCGGCUCAUCACAUCCUGGGGCUGAAGUAGGUCCCAAGGGUAUGGCUGUUCGCCAUUUAAAGUGGUACGCGAGCUGGGUUUAGAACGUCGUGAGACAGUUCGGUCCCUAUCUGCCGUGGGCGCUGGAGAACUGAGGGGGGCUGCUCCUAGUACGAGAGGACCGGAGUGGACGCAUCACUGGUGUUCGGGUUGUCAUGCCAAUGGCACUGCCCGGUAGCUAAAUGCGGAAGAGAUAAGUGCUGAAAGCAUCUAAGCACGAAACUUGCCCCGAGAUGAGUUCUCCCUGACUCCUUGAGAGUCCUGAAGGAACGUUGAAGACGACGACGUUGAUAGGCCGGGUGUGUAAGCGCAGCGAUGCGUUGAGCUAACCGGUACUAAUGAACCGUGAGGCUUAACCUUACAACGCCGAAG
rnacentral:rRNA from 1 species